rnacentral:rRNA from 1 species
CCCUAUGGGGGGCAGCAGGCGAGAAACUUUGCAAUGUGCGAAGCACGACAAGGUUAAUCCGAGUGGUUUCUGCUAAAGAAACCUUUUGCUAGUCCUAGAAACACUAGUGAAUAAGGGGUGGGCAAGUUCUGGUGUCAGCCGCCGCGGUAAAACCAGCACCUCAAGUGGUCAGGAUGAUUAUUGGGCCUAAAGCAUCCGUAGCUCGUUUUGUAAGUUUUCGGUUAAAUCCAUACGCUUAACGUAUGGGCUGCCGGGAAUACUGCAUAACUAGGAAGUGGGAGAGGUAGACGGUACUCGGUAGGAAGGGGUAAAAUCCUUUGAUCUAUUGAUGACCACCUGUGGCGAAGGCGGUCUACCAGAACACGUUCGACGGUGAGGGAUGAAAGCUGGGGGAGCAAACCGGAUUAGAUACCCGGGUAGUCCCAGCUGUAAACUAUGCAAACUCAGUGAUGCAUUGGCUUGUGGCCAAUGCAGUGCUGCAGGGAAGCCGUUAAGUUUGCCGCCUGGGAAGUACGUACGCAAGUAUGAAACUUAA